UACAGAGGUCCCAAGCGUUGUUCGGAUUCAUUGGGCGUAAAGGGUGCGUAGGCGGCGCGGUAAGUCGGGUGUGAAAUCUCGGGGCUUAACUCCGAAACUGCAUUCGAUACUGCCGUGCUUGAGGACUGGAGAGGAGACUGGAAUUUACGGUGUAGCGGUGAAAUGCGUAGAUAUCGUGAGGAAGACCAGUGGCGAAGGCGGGUCUCUGGACAGUUCCUGACGCUGAGGCACGAAGGCCAGGGGAGCAAACGGG
rnacentral:rRNA from 1 species